CCCUCGUCCACAUAGAUCCACUACGACACAUAAAAUAGAACGUCAUUGCAUAGACGGUGACAUUUGAGAAAGCAGUGAUAAAGCGAUAUUCAAUAGAACAGAACAGAACUAUAACAGUGAAGCAACUUUCCGUUUUAUUCUGAUAAUUAAUUUUGGAAUGCACUAUCGUCAAAUUAAUCUUGAAUUUAUAUCUAAAUUAUAACCUAACAAUUGUUAUUUCGUACCCUAAAUUGUCGUGCUUGUAAAGCUCCCUAUAUUUCUAAAUACUAAGGAUUGAAAUUUAUAUACUCUAGUGAUUCUAAUAUAACAAUACUCUCUACGUCGUAUAUUGUUCGUUAAGCGGACUAGAGCUAGUGGAAAAAACGUGGAACAAAACCAAGAAAAGUUGAAAGGUUAAAAAAAAGCACUAAACAAAUUUUAUAAUCCGUUGCAAUAAAGAUUAUAAAAUUGGAAUAGCUGCAGCUUUUCUUCACAGCAAGUCUAUUUUCACUCUCCGCUUUGCCGUAAGACGUUGGUUUGUUUUUGUCCCCUUUUGCUGCCUAUGGAGUACAUCAGCGUCAUCAUCUAUUUGAUGAUCUCAGCUAAUGUGUGGUCAACGGAGGUUUGAUUUGUCUUUCAAUAUUUUCACCCCGAUU